rnacentral:rRNA from 1 species
CCCUUAGAUGUUCUGGGCCGCACGCGCGCUACACUGACGAAUGCAACGAGCUUAUAACCUUGGCCGAAAGGUCUGGGUAAUCUCCAAAUUUCGUCGUGAUGGGGAUAGAUUAUUGCAAUUAUUAAUCUUCAACGAGGAAUGCCUAGUAAGCGCAAGUCAUCAGCUUGCGUUGAUUACGUCCCUGCCCUUUGUACACACCGCCCGUCGCUCCUACCGAUUUCGAGUGGUUCGGUGAACCUUUCGGACCGGCAAUGCCUCGUGUUGCGCCGGAAAGUCAAGUAAACCAUAUCACUUAGAGGAAGGAGAANUCGUAACA